AUUGAACGCUGGCGGCAGGCCUAACACAUGCAAGUCGAGCGGUAGAGAGAAGCUUGCUUCUCUUGAGAGCGGCGGACGGGUGAGUAAUACCUAGGAAUCUGCCUGGUAGUGGGGGAUAACGUUCGGAAACGGACGCUAAUACCGCAUACGUCCUACGGGAGAAAGCAGGGGACCUUCGGGCCUUGCGCUAUCAGAUGAGCCUAGGUCGGAUUAGCUAGUUGGUGAGGUAAUGGCUCACCAAGGCUACGAUCCGUAACUGGUCUGAGAGGAUGAUCAGUCACACUGGAACUGAGACACGGUCCAG
rnacentral:rRNA from 1 species